CACGAACGCUGGCGGCAGGCCUAACACAUGCAAGUCGAGCGGAUCCUUCGGGAUUAGCGGCGGACGGGUGAGUAACGCGUGGGAAUAUGCCCUUCUCUACGGAAUAGCCUCGGGAAACUGGGAGUAAUACCGUAUACGCCCUACGGGGAAAGAUUUAUCGGAGAAGGAUUAGCCCGCGUUGGAUUAGGUAGUUGGUGGGGUAAUGGCCUACCAAGCCUACGAUCCAUAGCUGGUUUGAGAGGAUGAUCAGCCACACUGGGACUGAGACACGGCCCAGACUCCUACGGGAGGCAGCAGUGGGGAAUCUUAGACAAUGGGGGAAACCCUGAUCUAGCCAUGCCGCGUGAGUGAUGAAGGCCUUAGGGUUGUAAAGCUCUUUCAGCUGGGAAGAUAAUGACGGUACCAGCAGAAGAAGCCCCGGCUAACUCCGUGCCAGCCGCCGCAGUAACAC
rnacentral:rRNA from 1 species